UUCCACAGAAUUCUCACGCUGUUCUUUUAGCAUGGUCAGAUCAAUUAGUGAAGUAGACAAACGCAUGAGUGAAAUUCAACCACCAUUUAAAACACGUUUCCCUCGCUCUGUUUCUGUCCACAGAAUGUACUAUAAAGCUUCAGAGUACCGGUGUAUGUUGUUGUUCUUUGGGCCAGUAGUUUUUCGAGGUAUUCUUGCAAACCUAUACUACAAUCACUUUCUGCUGCUAAGUGAAGCAAUGUUCAUUCUUCUUUUGGAUUCCAUAACCUUUGCACAAAUAGAUCACGCUGAGAAACUUCUGUGGAAGUUUUGUUCUCAGAUGAAUGAGCUUUAUGGUGACAGAUACCUGACAGCCAAUGUUCACUUAUUAGUUCAUUUAGCAGACAGUGUUAGAGCUCUUGGACCUUUGUGGACCCAUUCUUGCUUUCACUUUGAGGACAAAAAUGGACAUUUGCUUCGUCUCAUUCAUGGAACUCAAAAUAUUCCUCUACAAAUGGUAAAUGCAGUGAAACUUAUUCAGUGUCUCCCAAAUAUUGCUCAAACCACCAAAAUUGGUAAUACCACUGCUGAUUUCAUUGCCAAGAUGACAAAUGACACAAGUCAUUUUUGUUUUUCAAACACAGGUGCCUUUAGAGUGAAAGAAAUGGGUGUUCCCUUCAAUCUUUUGCUGGAUUGCGCAGACAUGUCUACAUUAGAAAUGUUUUUAGGACAUAGCUUACAUAGUAAUGUUGUGAAGGCAUUUAGCAGAGUUCAGAUAGGCCGAACUGUCUAUUCCUCAAAGCAGUAUGUCAGAGCCAAAAGAAGAAACAAUUGCACUGUGACAUUUCAUGAUGGAAAUGAAGUAUGUUAUGGUCAAAUUGACUUCUUUUUCUUUUAUAAAGAUGGAGACAAUUUUUCAAAUGAGAGACAUCUUGCUUUUGUGAAUGAAUUGUCAUGCACAGGACUAGAUCUCCAGCAGGACAUUGUAACAGGAGCAACUUGUUUUCACAUUGUAAGCUUACUUGAGAAUCCUAUAAAAAGAAAAGUUCUAGUUCUUGAAAAUAUUUUAAGCAAACUAAUGUUUUUAAAUUUGUCUUCAAUGCCAGGCAUUGCAUAUGCAUCACAUUUCCCAAACACAUUGGAAAGGGAUUGAUUGAUUGAAUGAAUGCAUAACCACAACAAGAAUUUGUUGUAAUUGUAGAUGAAUAAUGGUAUGGUAUAUAAUUGUAUAAAAUUUCUUUAUGGUUGCUACAUAACAUUUUUCUUUGUUUAAUAUAUCUGUAGUAAAAUCAAUGGGUUUUAUUAUCAUGUAUGUAUGUCAUUUGAUUGUGAGUUUAAAAUAAAAUUGAAAAAUGAACUCUCUAGCUAAGAAUAAUAGCCACCUUUACGGAAAGAAAAUAUAUUUCCUAAUAUAUGAAGGAUAAAUAUAUUUAAAUUAAAUAAUUGUAAAUUAAAAAUACAGAAUAAUAUAGAGGACCAGGCCUGGAUUUUACGUUGUGUUUUGUUUAUCUUUUAUUAUGUGUGCGCGUGGCAGUCCUCCAUGAGGGGUUUACCGCAUUACUUUCAGUUUGUUUAUUUAUUUGGAUUAAAGUCUUUAAAUCUUCGCCGGUUCCUGCCUUCUUCUUCCCAACUCUACGAACUGUUGCAUAC
ensembl:lncRNA